rnacentral:lncRNA from 1 species
AAGUAAUAGAAAAAUAAAUCUUAAUAUAAUAUGAGAUGUAACUAUAACUGUAGCCAUAUGCCCGUAUAAAACAAUUAAAAAAUUUUGUUUUUCAUGUCUAUGGACUUAAAACGGUGUGGCCGCGUAUUACAUUCUCAAGUUAUUGGACAAAGCGAACAUUUUUUUAUCGACAUGAAUUGAGAAAAAAACUAAAAUAAUCGAAAAUUUCAUAUGCAUAUGAAUACCACAAUACCUCGACAUGAAUCUAAAUAUUUUGAAAACGUUAUGGUUUUAAAUUCUAAUGAAUACACUCAGUGAAAAUUGCAUGUAUAUCCACAGUAGUUUAUUUUAGAGUAGGUAAAACGAAAAACGAAAACCGAACUUGGGUACUUAAAAAUUCACGUUUUCUUAAAUUUUUUUUUCUUUUUCCCAGCGCUUUUGUAGAGUAACUAGGUACUGUUCAUUUCGACAUCUCCUAUGCACCUACUAGAUUCACUUACCGGAAAAUAUGAAAAGCGGAGCAUUGGUUUCAUUGGAAUACUUAUCGUGUACACCGACACAAAUAAUAAAAAUGUAUUAAGCAGAACGUACAUUUUGCCAAUAGUGUCAAUAUAGGUCGAUUCACUCUAAUUUUUAAACUGACGAUGCUAAAUGUGAUCUGCUGAUCGUAAAUUUGCUAUACAAGACGGACACAAUAAAAUGUCCGUUUUACGUGUUAAAUCGUGGAGCUGCAUCGUUCACGAAAUUUCAAAAAUGUAAUGCCCGCCAUUCUGUCUUAUCGCUAUGUACCACUGAAUAGUAGUGAUAAUUGUUAUCAAAUAAAUAACAACAUAAUAUUAUUAUUUUUUUCGUAUGCCGACUUUAAAUUUGAAUCGCUCACGAAUCUCGAUUAUAUGAAAUUUGAACAAAAAUACAGACUACAGAACAGUCGUAAAGAGUUUUAUUCAUACAUUUUAGUACAAAACCCAUAGACAUAUUAAUAAAUAUUUAUUAAUAUGUCUAUGACAAAACCACCAUGGACAAGUGUAUUCUUUUCAGUAAAACAUUCAAUGUAUCGCCUCGCCACAUCACGUCAAUCUUCAUUUAUUUCCAAAAAAUCAACGAAAUAGAAGGGAAUAAUGGCUAAAAAUGUUCGAAUUAAAUGAUCAUCCCAAUUUCUACCUGGCAUAGAAUCUGCGGUGAUAAUUUCACAAUAAUUAGUGGUUGCAAACAACGCUCAGUAAAUUAGUAAACAUGGUCAGAGGGCCGUCUCAAAACAUAAUCCAAACCACUUGUCCGGGAUAGAGAAGUAAAAUAAAUGUUAGUGAUUCACGGCAACAUUUGUAGGUCCUACUGUGAGCGCGACUAGUAAAUCUCAUCUAAGAGAAAAUUUUGUUUCUCCAACGACGAGUUAGAAGAGAAUGCACAGACGAAUAAAGGAUCUGGAGUCCAUACAGUUGAUGAUUUUAAUUCAUCCGGAAAAGCCUCAGAUACCCAAUAAUGUCUAAUUCACACACACUUAUGCAACUCAUACAAUGGAUUAUACUUAUUAUGGUUAUCAAAACUAAAAUAUAUGAUGUGCCACAUACAAGGAGCUAGGUAGUGGAGCCAAUGUAUUGACAAUUUUUCAGGCGUUGACUCUCUCGAAGAUAAUUCUACCGACUCAGGUGAAGCCAUACCUUAUUGGAGCGAAUUAUGAAACUGAAAGGUCGUCAAGCUCGUUCCCAUUCACAAACUUGUUUGAAAAAAGAGUAUGCAAUGACCAAAAAGCUUUAGUGGCUGUUAUUAAAAUUCUUCAACUAUCAACAAUGGACAUGAUUUAUGAAGACUUUUAAAUUAGUUAUAUGUAUGGCUACACAUAUAAUAACAUUAUAUUUGUGUAUGGAUAAAUACAUUAGAUAGAUAAGCGUUCAACCAUUUUAUUAAAAACCAUAAAAAAAAAAAAUAGGCACAUUUCUAAUAUAAUUAAGCAUUAAAUUUUUAUUUUAUAAACAAGUACGAUGAGAAAUAUAACUAGUGCAGGAGCAUAAAAAAUAGUUUCAAAAGAAUUGUUAAAACUUAAUAAUAUAUAAGCAGCAGAGAAUUUUUAAAAAUUGUGUAUACGUCAAUAAUUAAAUAAAAAACUUACAAUAAUGUAAAUUAAAAAAAUCAAUAAAAAAAUUGGAAAGCACAUAAUUUUAACAAUAAUUUGUUAUUGUGUAUAGUUAUUUACCGUAUAAUAAAUUAUGGUUGUUUCUAAUAAUGUAUAUCCUUGUUGUAUUGAGGUAAUUUUUAGUUUUUAACUAUCAAUAACACUAAAAGAGUAUAAAAAAAUAUCCCUGAAAUUCCUUAUAUAGGUACAUAAAAAACAUUUAUAAUAAAAAUAACAAAUAUACUUAUCUAUUUUUAAUGAGGAUCUUUGGUCAUUAUAAUUAGCAACAUUUUUAUAUAUUAAAUAUAAUAUAAAUUAAAAAAGGUAAAUAAUCAUUUAAACAUAAACCAUAAGCAUGUUUGUGGCUUUGUGCGUAAAAAAUUGAAGUAGACGUGUUGUGUUAAAUAUUAAGAAGCAAAAUGCUUCAUAAUUAGUAUUAAAAACUAUGAACACAAGAUAAUGACUUAGAUCAGCGAUGCCCAAACCAAAUCAAAUAUUAUUAUGUUGAAAUAAAAUAUAUAAAAAUACCAAUAUUUCCAAGGUACUUAAAUUUUCUUCUUUUAUUAUAAAUAUAUAAAUUUUCUUUAAUAGCAGAUGGAAUAAAAAAGGUUGGGCCUCACUGACUUAGAUCAAUAAAAUUAAUGUAUUAAUAUACAGAAAGUGCGGCUGAACAAAACAAAAUUUUUAACAAUAAAUAAUAAGUCCUUAAGACCUUUAUAAGUAUUGGUCUUAUAAGCUUUGUGGUGAAUUGACGCCGUGCAACAUACCAUCCAUGUGUUCAACUUCUGAAAGUUUUGAAGAGAACACACAAACACAGUCGAAUAAGAAAACACAACCAACAUAACAGUGUUCAAAUGUUAUAUUGUUUAAAAAUAAAAAUAAUCAUAAAUAUUAUAAUAUUAUAAAAAUAAAUAAUGUAACAUACA